rnacentral:lncRNA from 1 species
GAGUGCUGAUCGGCGAGAACCCGGAGCUGGGUAAGGGGCUGCUGGCGGCGGCGCAGUCUCUGUAAGCGGUAUGAGUUUGGCUGGGGGCCGAGCCCCACGGAAAACCGCUGGAAACCGGCUUUCUGGGCUCCUGGAAGCAGAGGAGGAAGAUGAGUUCUACCAGACGACUUACGGGGGCUUCACUGAGGCAAGAGCCGGGCCCAAGAAGAGGGAGGCGAGGAAGCGGAGUCUUGUAGGGAAAAACCCUAGACAAAGAGGAAGGGGGCGGGGAUUGAGAAAGGCUCGGAAAGAUGUGCUCCUAGCUGGCGGUGGACGCUGUGCGUGUGCGUGUGUGUGAGGACCCGGUCCAGAAACAGAUUUAAUUAGCAUACUCUCUUUUUCAGCUUUCAAAUCACAGCAUACUGUUUUCUUAGAUGACCCUUUAUUGACUGUCCUAAGAGAAUCCCCAUUUAAUUUCCAUCAUAGAAACAAAAUUUCAGCUUGCAGUUAGAUUCGGUUUACUUCUCAUUUUCUGAUUGGUUUUAAGGUCUGUAACAGAGUUCGAUUUUUUAGUACAGGGCUGACACUUAGCUAUAUUUUUAUUAAUAGAAGCUGUUCAUUGAUUGAAUAUAUAUUGCAUACCCAGAUCAGCAUACCAUAUAUAAUUAAUAGCUUGUGGUGGACUCCUUGGGAACAUUAAAAACUUCCUGAGGCUGGGACUAUAUUGUAGUUCAGCGGUCGAUCACUUGCCCUAGAUCCUGGAUUACUGGCCCCUAGCAAUAAAUAAAAGCAAGCUCUAUCCUGCAGGGCAGCUG